rnacentral:rRNA from 1 species
CCCGGUGACCACAGCGGAGGGGAAACACCCGUUCCCAUUCCGAAUACGGAAGUUAAGCCCUCCAGCGCCGAUGGUACUGCCCCUUGAGGGGUGGGAGAGUAGGUCAUUGCCGGGG